rnacentral:rRNA from 1 species
UACGAAGGGGGCUAGCGUUGCUCGGAAUCACUGGGCGUAAAGCGCACGUAGGCGGAUUGUUAAGUCUGAUGUGAAAGCCCUGGGCUCAACCUGGGAAUGGCAUUGGAUACUGGCAGUCUAGAGUGCGGUAGAGGGUAGCGGAAUUCCCGGUGUAGCAGUGAAAUGCGUAGAUAUCGGGAGGAACAUCCGUGGCGAAGGCGGCUACCUGGACCAGCACUGACACUGAGGCACGAAAGCGUGGGGAGCAAACAGG